UACGAAGGGGGCUAGCGUUGUUCGGAAUUACUGGGCGUAAAGCGCACGUAGGCGGAUCGAUCAGUCAGGGGUGAAAUCCCAGAGCUCAACUCUGGAACUGCCUUUGAUACUGUCGGUCUAGAGUAUGGAAGAGGUGAGUGGAAUUCCGAGUGUAGAGGUGAAAAUUCGUAGAUAUUCGGAAGAACACCAGUGGCGAAGGGCGGCUCACCUGGCCC
rnacentral:rRNA from 1 species